UACAGAGGGUGCGAGCGUUAAUCGGAAUUACUGGGCGUAAAGGGCGCGUAGGUGGUUACUUAAGUCAGAUGUGAAAUCCCUGGGCUUAACCUAGGAAUUGCAUUUGAAACUGAGUAGCUAGAGUAUGGGAGAGGGAAGUGGAAUUUCCGGUGUAGCGGUGAAAUGCGUAGAUAUCGGAAGGAACACCAGUGGCGAAGGCGACUUCCUGGCCCAUUACUGACACUGAGGCGCGAAAGCGUGGGGAGCAAACAGG
rnacentral:rRNA from 1 species